CAAUAGCGUAUACUAAUGUUGUUGCAGUUAAAAAGCUCGUAGUUGAACUUCUGGUAGGAGUGUCCCGGCCUUUUUGUUUUUACAAAUUGUAUGCUGUGUGACAUCUCUGGCCAUCCUUCUUCUUUGUUUAAAGAAGAUCUUUCACUGUAAAAAAAUCAGGGUGUUCAAAGCAAAAGUUUCUUUGGAAUAUAUUAGUAUGGGAUGAUAAGAUAGGCUCUAGAUGCUAUUUUGUUGGUUUGCACAUUUAGAGAAUGAUUAACAGGGACAGUUGGGGGUAUUCGUAUUUACAUGUCAGAGGUGAAAUUCUUGGAUUUUGGAAAGACGAACUACUGCGAAAGCAUUUACCAAGGAUGUUUUCAUUAA
rnacentral:rRNA from 1 species